GGGUUGUGAGGUUAAGCGACUAAGCGUACACGGUGGAUGCCCUGGCAGUCAGAGGCGAUGAAGGACGUGCUAAUCUGCGAUAAGCGCCGGUAAGGUGAUAUGAACCGUUAUAACCGGCGAUUUCCGAAUGGGGAAACCCAGUGUGAUUCGUCACACUAUCAUUAACUGAAUCCAUAGGUUAAUGAGGCGAACCGGGGGAACUGAAACAUCUAAGUACCCCGAGGAAAAGAAAUCAACCGAGAUUCCCCCAGUAGCGGCGAGCGAACGGGGAGGAGCCCAGAGCCUGAAUCAGCAUGUGUGUUAGUGGAAGCGUCUGGAAAGGCGCGCGAUACAGGGUGACAGCCCCGUACACAAAAGCGCAUGUGCUGUGAGCUCGAUGAGUAGGGCGGGACACGUGGUAUCCUGUCUGAAUAUGGGGGGACCAUCCUCCAAGGCUAAAUACUCCUGACUGACCGAUAGUGAACCAGUACCGUGAGGGAAAGGCGAAAAGAACCCCGGCGAGGGGAGUGAAAAAGAACCUGAAACCGUGUACGUACAAGCAGUGGGAGCCCCACCACCAAAGCAUUCUCUGGUGUUGAAGGCCCUGCAAAGCAGCAUCGCGGUGGCGGAGCGUCGUUUGCGACGCCCAACACACAAAACAAGCGGUGAAUGCUUUGGGGUGGGGUGACUGCGUACCUUUUGUAUAAUGGGUCAGCGACUUAUAUUCUGUAGCAAGGUUAACCGUAUAGGGGAGCCGUAGGGAAACCGAGUCUUAACCGGGCGUUAAGUUGCAGGGUAUAGACCCGAAACCCGGUGAUCUAGCCAUGGGCAGGUUGAAGGUUGGGUAACACUAACUGGAGGACCGAACCGACUAAUGUUGAAAAAUUAGCGGAUGACCUGUGGCUGGGGGUGAAAGGCCAAUCAAACCGGGAGAUAGCUGGUUCUCCCCGAAAGCUAUUUAGGUAGCGCCUCGUGAAUUCAUCUCCGGGGGUAGAGCACUGUUUCGGCUAGGGGGCCAUCCCGGCUUACCAACCCGAUGCAAACUGCGAAUACCGGAGAAUGUUAUCACGGGAGACACACGGCGGGUGCUAACGUCCGUCGUGAAGAGGGAAACAACCCAGACCGCCAGCUAAGGUCCCAAAGUCAUGGUUAAGUGGGAAACGAUGUGGGAAGGCCCAGACAGCCAGGAUGUUGGCUUAGAAGCAGCCAUCAUUUAAAGAAAGCGUAAUAGCUCACUGGUCGAGUCGGCCUGCGCGGAAGAUGUAACGGGGCUAAACCAUGCACCGAAGCUGCGGCAGCGAACGUAUCACUUAAAGCGAUUCAGCGGGUUACGAUUGACGGAGCGAAGCGACGUCAAAGCGUAUACAAAGUCGAGUCGGUUUAAGGAUACGUUCGUUGGGUAGGGGAGCGUUCUGUAAGCCCGUGAAGGUGGCCUGUGAGGGUUGCUGGAGGUAUCAGAAGUGCGAAUGCUGACAUAAGUAACGAUAAAGCGGGUGAAAAGCCCGCUCGCCGGAAGACCAAGGGUUCCUGUCCAACGUUAAUCGGGGCAGGGUGAGUCGACCCCUAAGGC
rnacentral:rRNA from 1 species